UAUAAACCUAUCCUAUAACUUUAGAAAAUUUGGAAUAUAGCGCACGAGCGUAUUGGACUACCUUUAUUAUGCGUUUUUGUCAUAUUGGGAAGUUGACAGCCACGUCCUCAUUUAUUGACACUGCAUAUUUCAUGACAAAUUCCCCUUUUGUGCUCCAUGGAAGAAAGUCAUACGGGGUUAGAAAGAUAUAAUGUGUGCGCAAGAAAGCAUUGAGCUCUAGGGGGCAAUAAAGAGCCAUCAAAAAGGACUUUACUGUUCUUACAUGUCAAGAUGAAACAAUUUGCAAGGAAGUACAGAAAUAAAGCUUCAACAUUUACCUGUUGUGGAAUAUUGCAACAUCCAGGAUCUCCAAAUAGACAGCCUCACAAGUGAAUUAUCCAUCACAACACUGGCCAGAUGUAUACAAUAACUCCUUUAAGGAUUGUGCUGAAUGGUGGAGAUGUAUUUUUGAUGCUGAGGAGAACAAAGGUCCUAGUUAAAAGAUGAAAUGUAAGCCUCUAUCCAAAUAUAAUCUCUCAGUGCAUUGGAUUAUACAGAUUAACCUCAUGUUUGUACAUCAGUUUUGUGUUUUGCCAGGUGGUGGGGGAUCAGUGGUUGAAAGUGGCACACAAUCUGAUUUGAAACCUAUGAUAAGAGAGAAAGUUUGUAGGAAUGGUUGGCUUCUUCACUUUUGACUCUUUUUUUUUUUUUCUUCUUCUUUUUGCUCUCUUUCAGACUCACAGUGGUUUAGAGCUCAAAAUGAUUUUAUUACCACUAUCCAUGGUGCUGAAAUCCUGUGGGAUAAACUGCUUCCGAUUUAGAGCGAAAAAAGGACAGUUAACGAAUGCAAAUACUGCAGAUAUACAUAUCUGGUAAGGUCUCUAUAUAUAUUCAACUUAAAUAUGCAUGCUUAUCUGCAUUACUUAUCAGAUAGUUUUCAUUUCUUAUCUGAUAAAUGAUGUUAAAUUUUAUCCAUUUGCAUAAGAUGUUGUUCAUUUGGUAAACUA